UGGGGAGUCUUGCGCAAUGGACGAAAGUCUGACGCAGCCACGCCGCGUGAGUGAAGAAGGCCUUCGGGUUGUAAAGCUCUGUCGGACGGGACGAAAGGUUACGUGCUCAUACCACGUGAUUUUGACGGUACCGUUAAAGGAAGCACCGGCUAACUUCGUGCCAGCAGCCGCGGUAAUACGAAGGGUGCAAGCGUUGCUCGGAAUUAUUGGGCGUAAAGGGUAGGUAGGUGGUCUGAUUUGUCUGAGGUGAAAGCCCGGGGCUUAACCCCGGAAGUGCCUUAGAAACGGUUAGACUAGAGUACUGGAGAGGGUCGCGGAAUUCCUGGUGUAGCGGUGAAAUGCGUAGAGAUCAGGAGGAACAUCAGAGGCGAAGGCGGCGGCCUGGACAGGUACUGACACUCAACUACGAAAGCGUGGGUAGCAAACAGG
rnacentral:rRNA from 1 species